UAGUAAUCACAGACAAUAUUAAUAACAACCCUUCCUGAGGGUUUAUUGUGUCCGGACAAUGAGCUAAGCUCUUUACAAUCCUUAUAUCACUUAAUCAUCACAACAACACUUUGAGAGUAAUUAUUAUUUCUAUUUUACAUGUGAAGAGGCUAAAGAGUAGUUAUCCAAAACCCCACAGCUGAUGAAAGUACAUGGUAAAUUAUUUGCAAAUAUGGUCACAAUUCUCCCUAAAGCCAUGCUCUUUGCAAUGUAACCUUGCGGCUUCUCCAAUCAAGAGGUGAAAUCUAUUUCUUCACUCUCUGAAUCUUGUUGGCCUUGUGGCUUACCUUGGCCAAACGAAUGCAGCGUAAGUGACAGUGUCCCAGUUCAAGCCUCAGUCCCAAGAACCUCAAGGAAUCAGAACUUGCUUCUGUUCUGUCUCUUAGACUCCUGAGAUUGCCAUAUGAACCCAGCCCAGCCAGCCUACUAGAGAAUGAGAGACCACAUGGGGAAGAGCUUACCAGACUUUCAAAAAUCCCUAUGGCUGGAAAAGGCUUGGAGGUUUCUCUCUCCAUUACGAUUCAUGCACCUGCUUCCUCUUCUGCAACCACCCCUAACUUUCCUGCAGAACUACCAUUAGAUAAAUAAAGUUUAUUUUAUUUCAAGAUUUUUAAAGACA
rnacentral:lncRNA from 1 species